UGAACGCGAAGGACCUUACCAGGUCUUGACAUCCUCUGACACUCCUAGAGAUAGGACAUUCCCCUUCGGGGGACAGAGUGACAGGUGGUGCAUGGUUGUCGUCAGCUCGUGUCGUGAGAUGUUGGGUUAAGUCCCGCAACGAGCGCAACCCUUGAUCUUAGUUGCCAGCAUUCAGUUGGGCACUCUAAGGUGACUGCCGGUGACAAACCGGAGGAAGGUGGGGAUGACGUCAAAUCAUCAUGCCCCUUAUGACCUGGGCUACACACGUGCUACAAUGGAUGGUACAAAGGGCAGCGAAGCCGCGAGGUGGAGCCAAUCCCAUAAAACCAUUCUCAGUUCGGAUUGCAGGCUGCAACUCGCCUGCAUGAAGCCGGAAUCGCUAGUAAUCGCGGAUCAGCAUGCCGCGGUGAAUACGUUCCCGGGUCUUGUACACACGCA
rnacentral:rRNA from 1 species